rnacentral:rRNA from 1 species
UUAAGCGACUAAGCGUACACGGUGGAUGCCCUGGCAGUCAGAGGCGAUGAAGGACGUGCUAAUCUGCGAUAAGCGUCGGUAAGGUGAUAUGAACCGUUAUAACCGGCGAUUUCCGAAUGGGGAAACCCAGUGUGUUUCGACACACUAUCAUUAACUGAAUCCAUAGGUUAAUGAGGCGAACCGGGGGAACUGAAACAUCUAAGUACCCCGAGGAAAAGAAAUCAACCGAGAUUCCCCCAGUAGCGGCGAGCGAACGGGGAGCAGCCCAGAGCCUGAAUCAGUGUGUGUGUUAGUGGAAGCGUCUGGAAAGGCGCGCGAUACAGGGUGACAGCCCCGUACACAAAAAUGCACAUGCUGUGAGCUCGAUGAGUAGGGCGGGACACGUGGUAUCCUGUCUGAAUAUGGGGGGACCAUCCUCCAAGGCUAAAUACUCCUGACUGACCGAUAGUGAACCAGUACCGUGAGGGAAAGGCGAAAAGAACCCCGGCGAGGGGAGUGAAAAAGAACCUGAAACCGUGUACGUACAAGCAGUGGGAGCACGCUUAGGCGUGUGACUGCGUACCUUUUGUAUAAUGGGUCAGCGACUUAUAUUCUGUAGCAAGGUUAACCGAAUAGGGGAGCCGAAGGGAAACCGAGUCUUAACUGGGCGUUAAGUUGCAGGGUAUAGACCCGAAACCCGGUGAUCUAGCCAUGGGCAGGUUGAAGGUUGGGUAACACUAACUGGAGGACCGAACCGACUAAUGUUGAAAAAUUAGCGGAUGACUUGUGGCUGGGGGUGAAAGGCCAAUCAAACCGGGAGAUAGCUGGUUCUCCCCGAAAGCUAUUUAGGUAGCGCCUCGUGAAUUCAUCUCCGGGGGUAGAGCACUGUUUCGGCAAGGGGGUCAUCCCGACUUACCAACCCGAUGCAAACUGCGAAUACCGGAGAAUGUUAUCACGGGAGACACACGGCGGGUGCUAACGUCCGUCGUGAAGAGGGAAACAACCCAGACCGCCAGCUAAGGUCCCAAAGUCAUGGUUAAGUGGGAAACGAUGUGGGAAGGCCCAGACAGCCAGGAUGUUGGCUUAGAAGCAGCCAUCAUUUAAAGAAAGCGUAAUAGCUCACUGGUCGAGUCGGCCUGCGCGGAAGAUGUAACGGGGCUAAACCAUGCACCGAAGCUGCGGCAGCGACGCUUAUGCGUUGUUGGGUAGGGGAGCGUUCUGUAAGCCUGCGAAGGUGUGCUGUGAGGCAUGCUGGAGGUAUCAGAAGUGCGAAUGCUGACAUAAGUAACGAUAAAGCGGGUGAAAAGCCCGCUCGCCGGAAGACCAAGGGUUCCUGUCCAACGUUAAUCGGGGCAGGGUGAGUCGACCCCUAAGGCGAGGCCGAAAGGCGUAGUCGAUGGGAAACAGGUUAAUAUUCCUGUACUUGGUGUUACUGCGAAGGGGGGACGGAGAAGGCUAUGUUGGCCGGGCGACGGUUGUCCCGGUUUAAGCGUGUAGGCUGGUUUUCCAGGCAAAUCCGGAAAAUCAAGGCUGAGGCGUGAUGACGAGGCACUACGGUGCUGAAGCAACAAAUGCCCUGCUUCCAGGAAAAGCCUCUAAGCAUCAGGUAACAUCAAAUCGUACCCCAAACCGACACAGGUGGUCAGGUAGAGAAUACCAAGGCGCUUGAGAGAACUCGGGUGAAGGAACUAGGCAAAAUGGUGCCGUAACUUCGGGAGAAGGCACGCUGAUAUGUAGGUGAAGUCCCUCGCGGAUGGAGCUGAAAUCAGUCGAAGAUACCAGCUGGCUGCAACUGUUUAUUAAAAACACAGCACUGUGCAAACACGAAAGUGGACGUAUACGGUGUGACGCCUGCCCGGUGCCGGAAGGUUAAUUGAUGGGGUUAGCCGCAAGGCGAAGCUCUUGAUCGAAGCCCCGGUAAACGGCGGCCGUAACUAUAACGGUCCUAAGGUAGCGAAAUUCCUUGUCGGGUAAGUUCCGACCUGCACGAAUGGCGUAAUGAUGGCCAGGCUGUCUCCACCCGAGACUCAGUGAAAUUGAACUCGCUGUGAAGAUGCAGUGUACCCGCGGCAAGACGGAAAGACCCCGUGAACCUUUACUAUAGCUUGACACUGAACAUUGAGCCUUGAUGUGUAGGAUAGGUGGGAGGCUUUGAAGUGUGGACGCCAGUCUGCAUGGAGCCGACCUUGAAAUACCACCCUUUAAUGUUUGAUGUUCUAACGUUGACCCGUAAUCCGGGUUGCGGACAGUGUCUGGUGGGUAGUUUGACUGGGGCGGUCUCCUCCUAAAAGAGUAACGGAGGAGCACGAAGGUUGGCUAAUCCUGGUCGGACAUCAGGAGGUUAGUGCAAUGGCAUAAGCCAGCUUGACUGCGAGCGUGACGGCGCGAGCAGGUGCGAAAGCAGGUCAUAGUGAUCCGGUGGUUCUGAAUGGAAGGGCCAUCGCUCAACGGAUAAAAGGUACUCCGGGGAUAACAGGCUGAUACCGCCCAAGAGUUCAUAUCGACGGCGGUGUUUGGCACCUCGAUGUCGGCUCAUCACAUCCUGGGGCUGAAGUAGGUCCCAAGGGUAUGGCUGUUCGCCAUUUAAAGUGGUACGCGAGCUGGGUUUAGAACGUCGUGAGACAGUUCGGUCCCUAUCUGCCGUGGGCGCUGGAGAACUGAGGGGGGCUGCUCCUAGUACGAGAGGACCGGAGUGGACGCAUCACUGGUGUUCGGGUUGUCAUGCCAAUGGCACUGCCCGGUAGCUAAAUGCGGAAGAGAUAAGUGCUGAAAGCAUCUAAGCACGAAACUUGCCCCGAGAUGAGUUCUCCCUGACCCUUUAAGGGUCCUGAAGGAACGUUGAAGACGAGGACGUUGAUAGGCCGGGUGUGUAAGCGCAGCGAUGCGUUGAGCUAACCGGUACUAAUGAACCGUGAGGCUUAACCUU